GACGAACGCUGGCGGCGUGCUUAACACAUGCAAGUCGAACGAAGUGGCGAACGGGUGAGUAACGCGUAAGCAACCUGCUCUUCAGAGGGGGACAACAGUUGGAAACGACUGCUAAUACCGCAUACUGAAGGCGGGGGUUGGGUAUGCUUAGCUAGUUGGGGGGGUAACGGCCACCCAAGGCGAUGAUCAGUAGCCGGUCUGGGAGGAGGAACGGCCACAUUGGGACUGGGACACGGCCCAGACUCCUACGGGAGGCAGCAGUGGGGAAUCUUCCGCAAUGGACGAAAGUCUGACGGAGCAACGCCGCGGGAGUGAUGACGGCCUUCGGGUUGUAAAGCUCUGUUAAUCGGGACGCGGUACCGGAAUAGAAAGCCACGGCUAACUACGUGCCAGCAGCCGCGGUAAUUC
rnacentral:rRNA from 1 species